UACAGAGGUCCCAAGCGUUGUUCGGAUUUACUGGGCGUAAAGGGCGCGUAGGCGGCAAUUCAAGUCAGCUGUGAAAUCUCCGGGCUUAACUCGGAACGGUCAGCUGAUACUGCUUUGCUAGAGUGCAGAAGGGGCAAUCGGAAUUCUUGGUGUAGCGGUGAAAUGCGUAGAUAUCAAGAGGAACACCUGAGGUGAAGACGGGUUGCUGGGCUGACACUGACGCUGAGUGCGCGAAAGCUAGGGUAGCAAACGGG
rnacentral:rRNA from 1 species